AAUCUGGAUAAGUAACGUUGGCGACCCUGACUGUUAUGUGUAUCUGUGUGAAUGUAUAUUUUCAAAGGCGGUUAAAAUGUGUUUACGAGGAUUUUUUAAUAUAUGUCAAAUUUACAAAACCUUGUAAAUAGGUAACUAGUUUUCGAAAAUCUGAUUUACUGUUACAACAAUAUUGUGGGUUUGCUGUACUUUAUUCAAGAAAACGAUUUAUCAAGAUGAGUCAUUACUCUCCGUCCUAUAGACAGUCUGAGGUCCUCACAUCCUCACCACUACGCAGAAAAUCCAUGUUAAACCUUUCCAACAGUGAUGCAAGUCUUAGACAGAAUGACGACGAUGCAGAACGUAUGGAACGACGGCGUAAUGCUCAGAUUGAGAUGUGUCGACAUGAUGCCUCCACUCCUGGAUCAAGUAGACAAAAAUCGAUGGGAGGGAUGAUUGCUGGGCUUUCAGCAGCACAAUUGGGUGAACAUUAUGCCAGUUGUAUUAAGCUCUCUGCUGAGAAUGUAAGUCUGUUGUUAUGGUGAAAUAAAUAU